GGGGUUAUAGCUCAGUUGGUAGAGCGCUGCGAUGGCAUUGCAGAGGUCAGCGGUUCGAGACCGCUUAACUCCA
rnacentral:tRNA from 1 species